UAUAGGAAUAGGAUUCGGAUUGCUUUUGCUUGUAUGGGUACUUAAGUAAUUUUUCAUAUAAGAAACUGAUGCAGGAUUUGAAAAUCCCUAUUAUUUUGCACUUUGAUUUUGAAUUUCUGCCAUAACUUUCUCUUUCCCCUAUUAUCCAAUUAAUCACGACGCUCUCUCAAUCCAGAAACCUUAGGAAGAAAUCUCCAAUUAAUUGGUGCUCUUCCGCCAUUUCACUCCGCCACUACUUCUCGAUUACAUCGUCACCACCAGUUCUCGAUUCCACCAGUUCUCUCCAUCGACGCAACAAUUACCAGCCUUUCUCUCUAAUUGUUUCUCAUUGCAUCUUGUGAAAGGAAGCGGUGUCUGCUAUUCAUAGCUCUUCCUUCGACGUUCUUGAUUCCUGCUCCGGCACGACAGAUUCGGACACAAUUAAACAAUGGUUAGAAAAAGGAAGGUAACCGUAGAGCCCGCAGAAGAGGAGAACUCUUGAAGGAAAUCUGCAUAAGUUUAAAAUAAGUUUGUGGAUGACGUAAAGAGUACAACAACACGCCACUUUGAAGAGGCGCAAAAGAAAAGGACCCGUUGAUGUUGAAAAGAUGGUUGCAGAGUACCCCAGACCUUGAAUAGUGAAAGAUAUUGUUUUAGGAGAAUGAACAUCACUGUCUUUUGUUUAAAAAAUUUUUAGUAAACUAACUCUUGAUGGUCGACAACCGUUGGUUUCUUUGGGUGUAUACAUUGAUGGUUUUUGGAUUUCUAUUUUGUUUGGUGUAGACAUUGAAUGUUAAACAAUCAUAAGGCAUGAUUUACAAUCGUACGCAAAUUCUGAGA